UGUUCAUCUAAGGGCAGGAUCUUAUUUC
rnacentral:piRNA from 1 species